GACGAACGCUGGCGGCGUGCUUAACACAUGCAAGUCGAACGGAAAGGCCCUUCGGGGUACUCGAGUGGCGAACGGGUGAGUAACACGUGGGUGAUCUGCCCUGCACUUUGGGAUAAGCCUGGGAAACUGGGUCUAAUACCGAAUAGGACCACGCGCUUCAUGGUGUGUGGUGGAAAGCUUUUGCGGUGUGGGAUGGGCCCGCGGCCUAUCAGCUUGUUGGUGGGGUAAUGGCCUACUAAGGCGACGACGGGUAGCCGGCCUGAGAGGGUGACCGGCCACACUGGGACUGAGAUACGGCCCAGACUCCUACGGGAGGCAGCAGUGGGGAAUAUUGCACAAUGGGCGCAAGCCUGAUGCAGCGACGCCGCGUGAGGGAUGACGGCCUUCGGGUUGUAAACCUCUUUCAAUAGGGACGAAGCGCAAGUGACGGUACCUAUAGAAGAAGCACCGGCCAACUACGUGCCAGCAGCCGCGGUAAUACGUAGGGUGCGAGCGUUGUCCGGAAUUACUGGGCGUAAAGAGCUCGUAGGUGGUUUGUCGCGUUGUUCGUGAAAACUCACAGCUUAACUGUGGGCGUGCGGGCGAUACGGGCAGACUAGAGUACUGCAGGGGAGACUGGAAUUCCUGGUGUAGCGGUGGAAUGCGCAGAUAUCAGGAGGAACACCGGUGGCGAAGGCGGGUCUCUGGGCAGUAACUGACGCUGAAGGGCGAAAGCGUGGGGAGCGAACAGGAUUAGAUACCCUGGUAGUCCACGCCGUAAACGGUGGGUACUAGGUGUGGGUUCCUUCCUUGGGAUCCGUGCCGUAGCUAACGCAUUAAGUACCCCGCCUGGGGAGUACGGCCGCAAGGCUAAAACUCAAAGGAAUUGACGGGGGCCCGCACAAGCGGCGGAGCAUGUGGAUUAAUUCGAUGCAACGCGAAGAACCUUACCUGGGUUUGACAUGCACAGGACGCCGGCAGAGAUGUCGGUUCCCUUGUGGCCUGUGUGCAGGUGGUGCAUGGCUGUCGUCAGCUCGUGCCGUGAGAUGUUGGGUUAGGUCCCGCAACGAGCGCAACCCUUGUCCUAUGUUGCCAGCGGGUUAUGCCGGGGACUCGUAGGAGACUGCCGGGGUCAACUCGGAGGAAGGUGGGGAUGACGUCAAGUCAUCAUGCCCCUUAUGUCCAGGGCUUCACACAUGCUACAAUGGCCGGUACAAAGGGCUGCGAUGCCGUGAGGUGGAGCGAAUCCUUUCAAAGCCGGUCUCAGUUCGGAUCGGGGUCUGCAACUCGACCCCGUGAAGUCGGAGUCGCUAGUAAUCGCAGAUCAGCAACGCUGCGGUGAAUACGUUCCCGGGCCU
rnacentral:rRNA from 1 species